GAUGAACGCUGGCGGCGUGCCUAAUACAUGCAAGUCGAACGAAACUUCUUUAUCACCGAGUGCUUGCACUCACCGAUAAAGAGUUGAGUGGCGAACGGGUGAGUAACACGUGGGCAACCUGCCCAAAAGAGGGGGAUAACACUUGGAAACAGGUGCUAAUACCGCAUAACCAUAGUUACCGCAUGGUAACUAUGUAAAAGGUGGCUAUACUACCGCUUUUGGAGGGGCCCGCGGCGCAUUAGCUAGUUGGUAGGGUAAAGGCUUACCAAGGCAAUGAUGCGUAGCCGAAUUGAGAGGUUGAUCGGCCACAUUGGGACUGAGACACGGCCCAAACUCCUACGGGAGGCAGCAGUAGGGAAUCUUCCACAAUGGGCGAAAGCCUGAUGGAGCAACGCCGCGUGGGUGAAGAAGGUCUUCGGAUCGUAAAACCCUGUUGUUAGAGAAGAAAGUGCGUGAGAGUAACUGUUCACGUUUCGACGGUAUCUAACCAGAAAGCCACGGCUAACUACGUG
rnacentral:rRNA from 1 species